rnacentral:misc_RNA from 1 species
UUUCCGUAGGUGAACCUGCGGAAGGAUCAUUACAGAGUUCAUGCCCUCACGGGUAGAUCUCCCACCCUUGAAUAUUUAUACCUUAGUUGCUUUGGCAGGCCGUGGAAACACCAUGGGCUCCGGCUUAUGCGUGCCUGCCAGAGGAAACGAACUCUGUUUUUAGUGAUGUCUGAGUACUAUAUAAUAGUUAAAACUUUCAACAACGGAUCUCUUGGUUCUG